UGCCAGCCGCCGCGGUAAUACGGAGGGUGCGAGCGUUAAUCGGAAUUACUGGGCGUAAAGCGUACGCAGGCGGCCAUUUGAGUCAGAUGUGAAAGCCCCGGGCUCAACCUGGGAACUGCAUUUGAAACUGGAUGGCUAGAGUGCGACAGAGGGUGGUAGAAUUUCAGGUGUAGCGGUGAAAUGCGUAGAGAUCUGAAGGAACAUCAGUGGCGAAGGCGACCUCCUGGACUGAUAUUGACGCUGAGGCGCGAAGGCGUGGGUAGCGAACGGGAUUAGAUA
rnacentral:rRNA from 1 species